GAGCGCGUCUGCGCACGCGCUAGGUAGCUCACUGUGUGCGUGAGGCCGCCAUGACACUUUAGGCUGCAGCUCGCGUGAGAGAUAUAUUCUUGCCUCAGUCCGCAUCCUAUCCGUCCCAGCCCCGCGCCAUCCAGGUGACAUGGAGGAAGAAAGAAUAAGUGUUGGAUUACAGAAGAGUAUGAUGCAGGACUCGGUGACCUUUGAGGAUGUGGCUGUGGACUUUACCCAGCAGGAGUGGGCUUUGCUGGAUCUUGCUCAGAGGAGCCUCUACAGAGAUGUGAUGCUGGAAACCUUCCAGAACCUGGUCUCACUAGGUAAGACUGGCAAUGUUGGUUCAUGUAGUGGUUUAGAAAACAAUUUUAUCUACUAGUUGACCUUGUCCAGGAUUUGUGCUGAGGAGUGGGAGUACUUAGUAAAUAAGACAAACGUGGUCACUGACCACAGGGUGCUUACGAUCUGGAGGCUUCUUCAUGAAAAUGAACACGGGCAUAUUAAACUUGUUUUUUUCUUUUUCUUUUUGUGGUUGAAAGCCUUGAGACUUAUUAAGUAUUGAAUGUGUGGGCAUUGAGGGGCUUCUCUGGGGCACAGGGAGAGUUUGUGAUUUGAGACCUUUGAAGAUUCUACUGCUGUGAAUGCCCUUUAACAGAGACCACCAGGAGUACACCUGUAAGUUAAACAAGCGGGUUUAUUUUGAAGUCAUGGGAGAACAUACCCAUUGGGAGUCGAGGGGCGCCUUAGUAAGAGGGCGUUAGAAAGUACCUAUUCGAGAAUUUGUGCUUUUUGGAUGAUUUAGAGAUGAGUCUAUGGGGUAGAUUAUAUUGGUUACUUAGGCUCUCUAUGAACAAGUACCAUAAACUGGUGGGUAAAAGUAUAGAAAUUUUUAUUCUUUCAUGUUUCUGGCAUCUUGGAGUUUGAAACCAGGUGUCAGCACAGCUAUAUUCUUUCUAAAGGCUCAAAGGAAAAAGUCCCUCCCUGUCUCUUUCUAGCUUCUGGUGGUUGCUGGCAGACCUUUUUGUUUAUAGAUGUAUCACUCCAGUCUCUGUCUCCACCAUUACCUUCCCUGUGUACCUGUUUCUAAUCUCUGUCCAUAUAGGGACAUCAGUCAUUGGAUUUAGGGUCCAUCUUAAUCCAGAAUAACCUCAUCUUAACUUUAGUAUAUUGACAAAGACCUUUUUUCCAUAUAAGGCAACAUUCUGAAUAUGGGUGAACAUUUUCAAAAUAGGCUUUAAAAAAAUGUAUGUGUGUAUGUACAUUUGUACGUCUGCACAUAUGUAUGUAUAUAUGUGUGUGUUUAUGUGGUACUGAGAAUUUAACCUAGGGGCUCUCUACCACUGAGCGAAAUCCCCAGCUCUUUUUUAUUUUGUGAAAAGGUCUUGCUAAGUUGCCCAAGUUGGCUUCAAAUUUGGGAUCUUCCUGCCUCAGCCUCCUGAAUAACUGGAGUUAUAGGUGUGCACCACCAUGCCCCAGAGUAACAGGCUUUAAUUUUUAGAGCAGUUUCAGUUUGAAAGCAAAAUUAAGUGGAAGGUAGAGAGGUUUCUAAAAACUACUGUCCUCACAACACAGACAGCCUCUUUCACUAUGAACAUCUUCCACCAGAAUGGUCCAUGUUUAGUUUACAAAUGAUGAAUGUACAUUGACACAUCUUCAUCAUUUACUAGAGUCCAUAGCCUAUAUUAAGGUUCAUUUGUGGUGUUGUACAUUGUAUGGCUUUGGGCAAAUGUACAAUGACAUGUACCAUCAUAGUAAUAUGUAGAGUAGUUUUAUUCCCCUAAAAAUUUUCUGUGCUUUCACUUUUUAAUCCCUUACUCUCUCUUAACCCUUUGGCAGCCACUGGUCUUUAUAUCAUCUGUAUAUUUUUUUAUCUUUUGUGGAAUGUCAUAAAGUUGGAAUUUAUAUAGUAUGUAGCUUGUUCAGAUUGGCCUAUUUCACUCGGUAAUGUGCAUUUAAGUUUCGUUCAUGUCUUUUUAUGAUUUUUCUUUUACUGUUGAAUAACAUUAUGUAGUAUAGAUGUGCCAUAGUUUAUUUAUCAUCCCGUUUACUAAAGGGCAUCUUGGAUGCUUUCAGGUUUUGACAAGUAUGAAUUAUGCUCUCAUAAACAUGUGUAGCCCUUUGUGUGCAGUUUUGACUCCUUGGAUGAAUGCCAAGGGACACAAUUUAAUUGCUGGAUCAUAUGGUAAGAAGAGGUUUUUUUUUUUAGUAUUUAUUUUUUAGAUGGACACAAUAUCUUUAUUUAUUUAUUUUUAUGUGGUGCUGAGUAUUGAACCCAGCGCCUCACAUGUGCUUGGCGAGCGCUAGCCCCAGCCCCAUGGUAAGCGUAUUUUUAAUUUUAUGAGAAACCACCAGAUUGUCUUCAUAAGUAGCUGUAUCAUUUUGCAUUCCAAUUUGGAAUGAAUCAGAGUUCCAGUUUCUCUACAUUUUUGCCCAUAUUCGGCAUUGUCAAUUUUCUGGAUUUUGGCUGUUCAAAAAGGCGUGUAGAGGUGUGUCACUGUUUUGUUUUUCCUGGGUGAUUUUAGGAUGUGGAGCGUACUUUUACUUUUUUACUUGCCAUUUGUCUGUAUAUGUUUAAGUGUUUGUUUAGGUCUUUGGCUAUAUUUUUAUGGUAUUUUUUUGUUCUCUUAUUAUUGAUCUUUAAGAUUUCUUUGUAUAACGCAGCCAAAGAAAUGAUAAAGUGCGAAGAGACAGCCUUCAGGAUGAGAGAAAAUCUUUUCCACCUACUCCUCUGUCAGGGGAUUAACAUCCAGAAUAUACAAGGAACAAAAAAAUUCAACAGCAGAACAAAACAAACAAACAAACAAACAAAAAUCCCAAAGCAAACAAAAACCAAUUAACCCAGUCAAGAAAUGGGCAAAAGGGACUAAACAGAUUUUUCAAAAGAAGAAAUGUGGGCUGGGAUUGUGGUUCAGCGGUAGAGAGCUCACCUAGCACGUGCGAGGCCCUGGUUUGGAUCCUCAGCACCACGUAAAGAUAAAUAAAUAAAAUAAAUAUAUUAAAAAAAAAGAUUAUUUGUUAAAAAAAAAAGAAGAAAUGCAAAUUGUUGAUUGAUUGUAUUUCUUCUGUGAAGUGUCUAUUCAGUUCCUUAGCCCAUUUAUUGAUUGGGUUAUUUGUUUUUUUGGUGUCAAGUUUUUUGAGUUCCUUAUAUAUUGUAGAGAUUAAUGCUUUAUUGGAGUUGCAUGUGGUAAAAUUUUUUUCCCAAUCUGUAGGCUCUCUCUUCACGUUAUUAAUUGUUUCCGUUGAGAGAAGAAGCUUUUAAAUUUGAAUCCAUCCCAUUUAUUGAUUAUUUUGAGUUUGCUUCUUGCAUUUUAGGAGUCUUGUUAAGGAAGUUAGUUCCUAAUCCAAUGUGGUGAAUAUUUGGGCCUAUUUUUUUCUUCUAUUAGGCAUAGGGUCUCUGUUCUAGUGCCUAAGUUUUUUGUAUCUACUUUGAGUUGAUUUUUUGUGCAGGGUGAGAGAUAAGAGGUUUAAUUUCAUUUUGCUACAUAUGGAUUUCCAGUGUUUGCCGUACCAUUUGUUGAAUAGGCUAUCUUUUCCCCAGUGAUUGUUUUUGGCAUUCUUGUCUAGUAGGAGAUAACUGUAUUUAUGUGGGUUUGUGUCUGUGUCCUCUAUUCUGUAUCAUUGGUUGAUUCAAGUCUAUUUUGGUGCCAAUACCCUGCUGUUUUUUGUUACUAUAGCUGUGUAGUAUAGUUUAAGAUCUGGUAUUGUGAUGCCACCUGCUUCAUUUUUCUUGCUAAUGAUUGCUUUAGCUAUUCUGGAUCUCUUAUUUUUCCAAAUAAAUUUCAUGAUUGCUUUUUCUAUUUCUAUGAAGAAUGUCAUUGGGAUUUUAAUAGGAAUUGCAUUGAAUCUGAAUAAUGCUUUUGGUAGUAAGGCCAUUUUGACAAUAUUAAUUCUGCGUGUCUAGGAGCAUGGGAGAUCUUUUCAUCUGCUGAAAUUUUCUUCAAUUUCUUUCUUUAGUGUUCUAUGACUUUCAUGGUAGAGGUCUUUUGUUAGAUUGAUUCCCAGUUUUUUUUUUUU